CCAACCACCCAAACCCUAACUGAGAUCCCACCGCUGCCCCCUUCUCCCUCCCAGAUCCAAUCCAAGUCAGAACCACUCGCCCUCCCGCCCCGACCUCCGUCUCCAUUCUUGCGUGCGUCGGCCACCUCCCUCCGGCGGGGCUCGAGCCACACCCCCCAAGCGCCGCUGCUCCACCCUCUCCCGUGCCCAUCCACUGCACGCAUCGUCGGACUCACCAUCCUCCGCUGCACCGUGGAGAUGGGUGCGUCUGUGUCCACCCUCUCAGUGGAGGCAUAGGGGCGCCGCGGCGGUGAUGGGGAACAAGAUCGCGUUGCCAAAUCCAUCCACCGAAUCCUUGAAACCCUAGCAGCGAAAUUGACUCGAUCGAAAAAGUUCUUCAUCUUCCUUGAUUUGGUGCUGAUUUGUGGUUUGUUGGUGCGCGUGCAAGAGGAUGUGAUGGUGGAUAGGACGCCCAAGGAGUGGGAGGCCAGGCUGAGGUAGCUCGAGUUCGUGUAGCAGGCGGCCGCGCAGGCUGUCUUGCUGGUCACCGUGGCAUACGCGUAUGCCAAGCAGGGCACCGGCCCACUCCGCCCCGGCGUCGACUACGUCGAGGGGACCGUCAAGGCCAUCGUCGGCCCCGUCUAUGACCGCUACCACGCCGUGCCGCUCAAUCUCCUCAAGUUCCUCGACCACAACGUGUGAUCUGAAUUCUGAAUGGGUCUUUUGGCGGUACAUGAAGGUCGGGAGCGCCAAGGUGCACCUCACGCGCGGUGCUGCUGGCAAGAAGGACAUGGGUGAGGCCUUCUUCAUCUUCAUGUACGUCCCGUCCUUCCCCUCCUUUGCUUCCUUCAUCAGAUUCUAUUUUUCCGUUGUUGUUUCUCCAUGGUUCCCGGACGGCCCUUGUUCUGUACCUGCCUUUUGUUGAUUGGUUGCCAUCAGGGGGAGUUCCGCAAGGAGUUCAAGUAGAAGAACCCCAAGAACAAGUCUGCCACUGCUGCAAAGCAGCCGGUGGGAGGUGGAAGAGCUUGAGCGAGUCGAUCAUGGUGUACCAGCUUUGCAAGGGCGUUGCUUUUUGCCACGGACGCGGUGUCCGGCACCAUGACCUUGAGCCACACAACCUACAAAUUGGUGGAUGGGUUGGUAUCAUCUGGUUUGAUCCCAGCAAGAGGAAGUAUUCUCUUCUCUUUAUCAACCAAAGGCAUUUUCUUCUCUCAUGGAUGGAUGGGACUCCAUCAAUUUAGUAUCAGUUUAGGUGUUAGUAUGUUGUUGAUGCUUCUGUUGAUGCCAUGCUUUUUGUCUUGUAAUGUGCUGAUAUUAACUGGCAGCAUUAGCUCCCAUGAUUGCUUGCUUGCUUGCUUACUCUAUAACCUGUACUGAUAAAACAUGUUAUCCUACUCCAUGAUGCUAUAUCAUUUGCAAAUACUCCUGGACAUCAGCUCCCAUGAUGUUGCAUUAGCUAUAAUUUGUACUGCUAAAAGAGGAGUGUAAACUGGAGUAUUUUUUUCAGCCAUUAUCUUUGCUUUCUUUUGGGCGGAUGCUCUCCACUGGAGUACCGCUGGGUACUGCAUCUCUUUGCAUUCCUUUUUCAGUCAGUGCUUGAACAUUUUUUUAAAGAUGAAUUGGAAUACUCCUGGACAGUAGUACAUGGAGUUAGCUGUAACUUCUUGCAGUAUUAGCUAUAGCAGUCCAUUAGGAGUAGUUUUGCAUUAGUAGCAUUAGGAGUAACUUCUUGCAGAAACUCAUUUGACACAUAUUGUCAUGCAUCAGUAGCAUGUUUGCUUGUCUUGCCUUAUUCUAUGGCUUGGUGUGGGCGGGUGCAGACACGGAGGGGUUCUACAUGGAGGUUCAGGAGAAGAUCUCGCUAGGUACGACAACGUGUUCAACUGGUCCCUCAAGGCCAAUAUGAUGGGUGAAAAGGCCACCGAGUUGGCGCACAACUUCAUCGACGAGUGCGGCCUCGCUAGCCUGCUCACCCCGGAGCAGUUAGUCGAGGAGCGCGAGGGCAUGCUGCAGGAGCUCUUCCCCUCCUGCGCCGUCUUGCCUGAUGAUUUCCUUCAUUCAUGUUUCGAUGUGAGCUCUAGGUCGAAGUUGGAAGAAGACAUGCAGGAUCUAGGCAUGCAUGCAUGCUCUCUUAUCCCUGCUUAUGCUCCUUAGGAGAUGUGAAUUUCUGGGACUUUUGAUGUACUCCCAGCAUUUAUCUUUUCUCUUAUCUGUGGUCUGGUGUCAUAUUAUGGUCUAAUAUUUUUUGUUUUGACUCUUUUUUUGGUGCGAGGAAAGCUGUGAGUAGACGUCAAAGAUUCCUACUUGCUUGGCUGCUACAGUGAUGCAUGUGCCGGUCAAGCAAGCACAAGCAUAUACGUACAUGUUAGGAUAGUAGCAGAUAUUCCCUCUGUUCCUGCUAUAUUCCUGUGUAAAUGUAUUUCUAAGAUGAUUUUGUUGUGUUAUGUAAACCUAGGAGAUGUGUUAUGUGAUGUGAUAUGAUGGAUGAUUUGAAUUCGA